rnacentral:rRNA from 1 species
AGUACCCGGAGGAAAAGAAAUCAACCGAGAUUCCCUAAGUAGCGGCGAGCGAAAGGGGAGUAGCCCUUAAGUUUCUUAUGGUUUAGUGGAACGCUCUGGAAAGUGCGGCCAUAGUGGGUGAUAGCCCCGUACACGAAAAGCCAUUUGAGAUGAAAUCGAGUAGGUCGGGACACGUGAUAUCCUGAUUGAAUAUGGGGGGACCAUCCUCCAAGGCUAAAUACUCCUGCCAGACCGAUAGUGAACCAGUACCGUGAGGGAAAGGCGAAAAGAACCCCGGUGAGGGGAGUGAAAUAGAUCCUGAAACCGUAUGCGUACAAGCAGUCGGAGCGGACUUGUUCCGUGACGGCGUACCUUUUGUAUAAUGGGUCAGCGACUUAUGUUCAGUGGCGAGGUUAACCGUUUAGGGGAGCCGUAGGGAAACCGAGUCUGAAUAGGGCGAUUUAGUCGCUGGGCAUAGACCCGAAACCGGGCGAUCUAUCCAUGAGCAGGUUGAAGGUUGAGUAACAUCAACUGGAGGACCGAACCCACUGUCGUUGAAAAGCCAGGGGAUGACUUGUGGAUCGGAGUGAAAGGCUAAUCAAGCUCGGAGAUAGCUGGUUCUCCCCGAAAGCUAUUUAGGUAGCGCCUCGGACGAAUACCACAGGGGGUAGAGCACUGUUUCGGCUAGGGGGUCAUCCCGACUUACCAACCCGAUGCAAACUCCGAAUACCUGUGAGUACUAUCCGGGAGACACACGGUGGGUGCUAACGUCCAUCGUGAAGAGGGAAACAACCCAGACCGCCAGCUAAGGUCCCCAAAUACCAGUUAAGUGGGAAACGAUGUGGGAAGGCUUAGACAGCUAGGAGGUUGGCUUAGAAGCAGCCAUCCUUUAAAGAUAGCGUAACAGCUCACUGGUCUAAAUAAGUUGUCUUGCGGCGAAGAUGUAACGGGGCUCAAGCCAUGAGCCGAAGCUGAGGAUGCACAUAGUGCAUGGUAGCGGAGCGUAGUGU